rnacentral:rRNA from 1 species
UUGUCCUACGGGGGGCAGCAGUGGGGAAUAUUGCACAAUGGGGGAAACCCUGAUGCAGCAACGCCGCGUGGGUGAAGGAGCGUUUCGGCGCGUAAAGCCCUGUCAGCGGGGAAGAAGAAAGACGGUACCUGACUAAGAAGCCCCGGCUAACUACGUGCCAGCAGCCGCGGUAAUACGUAGGGGGCAAGCGUUAUCCGGAUUUACUGGGUGUAAAGGGAGCGUAGACGGCAUAGCAAGUCUGAAGUGAAAGCCCGUGGCUCAACCGCGGAACUGCUUUGGAAACUGUUAAGCUGGAGUACUGGAGG